rnacentral:misc_RNA from 1 species
AAUGACUCUCAUCUAAAGUAGAAACAGUCUCGGUGAGAGGUGGCGGUGUAGCAGCAAUAGCAGCACUGCUUGCCAUAGAGUGAACACUAUAAUUAGCCAACAGUAUCAUCACAUAUACCAUUAAAGUUGGUGUAUGUGAGAAUACUUGCUGGAAUAACCAAACAAAAGAUGCAUGCAUCUCCUUCUGUACUCUCACUAAGAUCCCCUGUAGAUCUUCAUAAAACAGCAAUUCCCUCAUCUGCAAAGUAUAGCUUUGCAGCUCUCGAAUUAUGAACACCAUAUUCGAAAAUGCUUUUUUUACUGAACAGUAUGCUGACUCUCCAGCUUCUCUGAUCCCA